UGUUGUUGGAGAUCAACAGAGGAGGUAAUAGAAAUACAUUUUGAAGCCAUGGGACUCAAUGGGGUGUCAACUGGGAUUAUGCUUGUAUGUUAGCAACGAGCUAAAGUCAAAUAUUAAGCAUCUUGAAGGCGACAAGGGAUUUGUGGAAGCUUUAUGGGUAGAUAUCAACUU